CUGUCAGCACAGAGCCCGACGCGGGGCUCGAACUCACGGACCGCGAGAUCAUGACCUGAGCCGAAGUCGGACGCUUAACCGACGGAGCCACCCCGGAGCCCCUAACAGGUGAUUUCUAACAGGCUCCAUGUCUGGCACAGAGCCCAAUGUGGGGCUCGAAUUCACCACCCUGAGUUCAAGACCUGAGCCGAAACAAAGAGUCAGACGCUUAACCGACUGAGCCACCCAGGCGCCCCUGCAUAUAACUUUUGACUUCCCCCCAAACCUCACUACGAAGAGCCUACUGUUGACUGUAAGCCUUGCAAAUAACAUAAGCAGCUGAUCCACACAUAUUUUGUAUGUCAUAUGUAUGCUAUACUGUAUUCUUCCAAAACAGUGAGCUAGAGGAGAGAGAAUGUCGUUAAGAAAAUCACAAGGAAGAGAAAAUACAUUUACAGUACUCUACUGUAUUUAUUGAAAAAAGUUCUGUGUGUAAGUGGAGCCACGCAGUUCAAACCCGUGGUUUCCAAGGGCCGACUGUAAUUUAUAUAUACGAUAAAAUCCCCUCUUCCCACCCACAGUGCUGUUCCUUGGGUGCCGGCUCCCACCCACCAUAACUUAACCUGUUCCCAUCCUGGCCAUCAGUUUCUUGCUCUUUCCCGGCCAGGCCCUCACAGAGCAGAUGAAGCACCCAGGCUGGGACGGGGCCAGUGGGGCACUCUCGUCAGUCACGAAAUGCAAGGGCCACCGGGACACUCAGUUGCCAAGAUCAACAAUAUUUUAAAGCCCUAUUUUUUUGCAAUAUUUCCUUUCAAUAAACUAAAGCACACACACAAAAAAAUUCCAUGAUGAACAAAACGUUGGAUUUGUAAAUAAACACGCGACCCAUAUCACCGUUUUUUUCUUUCGCCUCAGGUUUUAGUACGCCCCUGCACAGCACUGGGAAUGAUUUUUACUUGAAAAUUUUGGUGUUUGGUUCAUUAUGGAUUUUUUUUAAUUGACUUUGAUAUUAAAAAAAAAUAGCCU